GUGGGGAAUUUUGGACAAUGGGCGCAAGCCUGAUCCAGCAAUGCCGCGUGCAGGAUGAAGGCCUUCGGGUUGUAAACUGCUUUUGUACGGAGCGAAAAGGCUUCCACUAAUACUGGGGGCUCAUGACGGUACCGUAAGAAUAAGCACCGGCUAACUACGUGCCAGCAGCCGCGGUAAUACGUAGGGUGCAAGCGUUAAUCGGAAUUACUGGGCGUAAAGCGUGCGCAGGCGGUUAUGUAAGACAGAUGUGAAAUCCCCGGGCUUAACCUGGGAACUGCAUUUGUGACUGCAUAGCUAGAGUACGGUAGAGGGGGAUGGAAUUCCGCGUGUAGCAGUGAAAUGCGUAGAUAUGCGGAGGAACACCGAUGGCGAAGGCAAUCCCCUGGACCUGUACUGACGCUCAUGCACGAAAGCGUGGGGAGCAAACAGGAUUAGAAACCCUUGUAGUCC
rnacentral:rRNA from 1 species